GACGAACGCUGGCGGCGUGCUUAACACAUGCAAGUCGAACGGAAAGGCCCUGCUUUUGUGGGGUUCUCGAGUGGCGAACGGGUGAGUAACACGUGAGUAACCUGCCCUUGACUUUGGGAUAACUUCAGGAAACUGGGGCUAAUACCGGAUAGGAGCUCCUGCUCCAUGGUGGGGGUUGGAAAUUUUCGGCGGUUGGGGAUGGACUCGCGGCUUAUCAGCUUGUUGGUGGGGUAGUGGCUUACCAAGGCUUUGACGGGUAGCCGGCCUGAGAGGGUGACCGGCCACAUUGGGACUGAGAUACGGCCCAGACUCCUACGGGAGGCAGCAGUGGGGAAUAUUGCACAAUGGGCGGAAGCCUGAUGAAGCAACGCCGCGUGCGGGAUGACGGCCUGCGGGUUGUAAACCGCUUUCGCCUGUGACGAAGCGUGAGUGACGGUAAUGGGUAAAGAAGCACCGGCUAACUACGUG
rnacentral:rRNA from 1 species